rnacentral:rRNA from 1 species
CCCUUAGAUGUUCUGGGCCGCACGCGCGCUACACUGAUGCAUUCAACGAGUUUCUUCCUGGUCCGAGAGGAAUGGGUAACCUUUUGAAAGUGCAUCGUGAUAGGGAUAGACUAUUGCAAUUAUUGGUCUUCAACGAGGAAUUCCUAGUAGACGUAGUUCAUCAGACUGCAUCGAUUACGUCCCUGCCCUUUGUACACACCGCCCGGCGCUCCUACCGAUUGAAUGCUCAGGUGAGCCAUUCGGACUUUCAUCAUGCUGGUUUCCAGUUUUGAUGAAGGAAAGUCUUGCGAACCUUAUCAUUUAGAGGAGGGAGAAGUCGUAACA